rnacentral:rRNA from 1 species
GACGAACGCUGGCGGCGUGCUUAACACAUGCAAGUCGAACGGUGACCCAGGGCUUGCCCUGGUGAUCAGUGGCGAACGGGUGAGUAACACGUGGGGCAACCUGCCCCUGACUUCGGGAUAACUCCUCGAAAGAGGAGCUAAUACCGGAUACGACCACUUCGGACAUCCGAUGGUGGUGGAAAGUUUUUCGGUCAGGGAUGGGCCCGCGGCCUAUCGGCUAGUUGGUGGGGUAAUGGCCUACCAAGGCGACGACGGGUAGCCGGCCUGAGAGGGCGACCGGCCACACUGGGACUGAGACACGGCCCAGACUCCUACGGGAGACAGCAGUGGGGAAUAUUGCGCAAUGGGCGAAAGCCUGACGCAGCGACGCCGCGUGAGGGAUGAAGGCCUCGGUUGUAACCUCUUUCUAGCAGGGACGAAGCGAAAGUGACGGUACCGUGCAGAAGAAGCACCGGCUAACUACGUGCCAGCAGCCGCGGU